GCGGUGCUGGCCCGGAUAGCUCCAUGACCCCCGCCCGAGGGGCCGUUGAAGGCCGGGAGAGGGCGCCUGUGAACCGCCCCGAAGGGAACCUCCGCCCUUCAGGACGGGGAGGAGGUCAGAGAGUUCC
rnacentral:sRNA from 1 species